rnacentral:rRNA from 1 species
GACGAACGCUGGCGGCGUGCCUAAUACAUGCAAGUAGAACGCUGAAGAGAGGAGCUUGCUCUUCUUGGAUGAGUUGCGAACGGGUGAGUAACGCGUAGGUAACCUGCCUUGUAGCGGGGGAUAACUAUUGGAAACGAUAGCUAAUACCGCAUAACAAUGGAUGACACAUGUCAUUUAUUUGAAAGGGGCAAUUGUUCCACUACAAGAUGGACCUGCGUUGUAUUAGCUAGUAGGUGAGGUAAUGGCUCACCUAGGCGACGAUACAUAGCCGACCUGAGAGGGUGAUCGGCCACACUGGGACUGAGGCACGGCCCAGACUCCUACGGGAGGCAGCAGUAGGGAAUCUUCGGCAAUGGGGGCAACCCUGACCGAGCAACGCCGCGUGAGUGAAGAAGGUUUUCGGAUCGUAAAGCUCUGUUGUAAGUCAAGAACGGGUGUGAGAGUGGAAAGUUCACACUGUGACGGUAGCUUACCAGAAAGGGACGGCUAACUACGUG